UCCGGACACCGUCAGUCCAGCAAAAUUAAGACUGAGGUUUCUCAAAAAUAGGAUUGAGGUUUCUCAAAAAUUUUCACAAUUUGUAGCAAAUCCAGACAUAAACACAAUUGAACCUAUUCAGAUUAGUUCCAAAUCCUUAACCGAAGGAGUAGCAAACAAAAAUCUUUUUCCAAAUAGCAAACCUGGGAAGGGUGUGAACCAUCAUCCGGCCAGCCACCGCAGGCUGCGACGACCUCACCCUCUUUCUCUGCCCGUGCUAGCCUAUCUAUAUGCAAACCCCCCCUUUUUCAGCACCAUAUCCAAACCUUCACAUCGUAUAAUCAAAAAGCACACUCACUCAUAUGCACACAACACACUCAUCGUUCUCAAUCCCAGUAGAAGAAACAUCAAACAAUAGAAAACCAACCAAUAAAUCUGGCAUUCGAAAAACAUUUUCGUUCUCGUCCUCGACGACGGUGGUGAGAGUUGCCGACACUGGUGUAGAUUUUUGAUAUCUGAGGUAGAAGAAAGGAAACCCUUAAGUGGAGAGGAAGGAGAGCGACAUUGUGGUGCUGGUGAGGGCGGCGAUUCCGGCGAGAACAUCGGUGAGGGCAACGAUUCUGCGAUGAGGGCAACGAUUCCGCGAUGGUGUUCUUGACCGGUGAGGAGGAGGAGCGACGACCCGGUUCCGCGAAGAAUAAAGGACGAGAUGGCAAUCCGGCAUGAAGGGCGGUGGCUCUUCCGACGAAUGCGCCGGCGAAGCUGUGGACAGCCCCCUCGCAGCAGCCUUUUGAUCGGAGGUUGUGGCGGCAGUGGGUGCAGGAGUGGC
rnacentral:lncRNA from 1 species